ensembl:lncRNA
GUCAGAUCGGACAUACUGGCCUCCGUACCACCUGCUGAUCCCACGAGAAACUAGCCCCAAGCCUGCCGGUACGGGUGGAGCGGCACAACACCCACGCCCACCUCGACUCAGGGAGCGUGGAUACCCUGACCCAACCCGGACUGGCAGACGGGAGUCCUCGGACAUGAGGUCGCGGUGGGCUGCAUCCACGGCCGAACAGAGACCUACCCCACAACCGCAUUACAGUACAAACCCCGAAGGGAACCUUCACGGUUCAUGCCGGGGUGGUACCAAACCUCCUCAUGCCUCUUAAUUGGGCGGGACUGCCCCAUCUUUGGAAGACUGUUAGGGGCAGAGCUCCGGACACCCCAUCCCCGACGUCUCCGGGUAAGACCACGCCGGUUGCGUAGCCGGCAUGUCUACAUGGCAGCCCAACAACCGCCCUCCUGGUCCGACUCCGACGACGACGAGUCCCUCGAAAGACCACACGGCAGUCCACGGACUCCAUUCCCCGGGGGACCCCAGAAACGAUGACCGCCUCCGAACAGACACCCCCUCCGGAGGAGAGAGAGAGAGCCCGGACCUCAUCGAUUUCUCCGACGUACCCCUCGCCGUCGAGGGACGUACGGACAGGGGCGGACAUUUCGCCACCGCCCAACUGGAGGACGACGCCCUUAAACAUGCCUGGGGACACGUACAGGUCCAUGAGGGCGUAUCCAGGGACUCUUUUUACGGCGUGCCUUGACAGCCCCGGAGCGAUUCAUCCGCAGGUAGACGAGGGAGAGGAGAGCAGACAGGAACGUGCCUCCACUCGUCAUCAUCAAGCCCCAUGACUCAUUUAGACUUCUCAUUUAGGUUCAUUGCCUUUUAUUAAGAUUAACACUCCCCCCCCCCACCACAGCCAUGACGCAGAGUAAUGACCUCAUCAAUCCGACUUAAGUCCCUGUGCUCGCCAGACAAAACUCCACCUAUUCUGUUUUUCUGUGUGCGUGUGUCUGUGGAGGGUGGUUUAUUGUUUGGCUGCCA